rnacentral:misc_RNA from 1 species
AAGUCGUAACAAGGUUUCCGUAGGUGAACCUGCGGAAGGAUCAUUGAAUGAAUGUCGGGGGCCCCUCGGGAGGCCCUGUCUGUACCCUAUGUCGUUGUAGUACCUCGCGUUUCCUCGGCGGGCUCGCCCGCCAACGGGGACCUCAAGCAAAACCUAUUGAAGUACCUGCAGUAAACGUCUCACAAACAAUUAAAUCAAAACUUUCAACAACGGAUCUCUUGGUUCUG